rnacentral:rRNA from 1 species
ACGAACGCUGGCGGCGUGCUUAACACAUGCAAGUCGAACGGAAAGGCCCUGCUUUUGUGGGGUGCUCGAGUGGCGAACGGGUGAGUAACACGUGAGUAACCUGCCCUUGACUUUGGGAUAACUUCAGGAAACUGGGGCUAAUACCGGAUAGGAGCUCCUGCUGCAUGGUGGGGGUUAGAAAGUUUCGGCGGUUGGGGAUGGACUCGCGGCUUAUCAGCUUGUUGGUGGGGUAGUGGCUUACCAAGGCUUUGACGGGUAGCCGGCCUGAGAGGGUGACCGGCCACAUUGGGACUGAGAUACGGCCCAGACUCCUACGGGAGGCAGCAGUGGGGAAUAUUGCACAAUGGGCGGAAGCCUGAUGCAGCAACGCCGCGUGCGGGAUGACGGCCUUCGGGUUGUAAACCGCUUUCGCCUGUGACGAAGCGUGAGUGACGGUAAUGGGUAAAGAAGCACCGGCUAACUACGUG